GGAGGGGGAAGAGCUGAUUAGGGAAGGUGCAUCAAGCAAUGUUUUCUGAGUACGCCAGGUUGAGUUAGGAGAACAUUUUGCAUCAGUUAGGUUAGGUUAGGUUAGGUUAGGUUAGGGAGACAGGUUAGGUUAGGUUAGGUUAGGUUAGGGAGACAGGUUAGGUUAGGUUAGGUUAGGUUAGGUUAGGUUAGGGAGACAGGUUAGGUUAGGUUAGGGAGACAGGUUAGGUUAGGUUAGGGAGACAGGUUAGGUUAGGUUAGGGAGACAGGUUAGGUUAGGUUAGGGAGACAGGUUAGGUUAGGUUAGGGAGACAGGUUAGGUUAGGUUAGGGAGACAGGUUAGGUUAGGUUAGGGAGACAGGUUAGGUUAGGUUAGGGAGACAGGUUAGGUUAGGUUAGGUUAGGGAGACAGGUUAGGUUAGGUUAGGGAGACAGGUUAGGUUAGGUUAGGGAGACAGGUUAGGUUAGGUUAGGUUGAGAGAGAGAGAGAGAGAGAGAGAGAGAGAGAGAGAGAGAGAGAGAGAGAGAGAGAGAGAAAGUUGUCAAUGAAUAAGAUGCAUUUGUUCAAUAAUUACUUUUCUCCUUCCUAUUCUAAAAGCGAAGGAAGGAGAACGUACAACACUAUUUACCAACACAAAAUGGCAUCAUGAAAAAAUCCUGAAAAAGAGCAAAAUUAAACACACACACACACACACACACACACACACAUACACACAGCAUACAAAUAAUGAUACUAAUAUAACAGCAUCAGUACGAAAGCAGAUGUGGUUGACGCUGUGUGUGUGUGUGUGUGUGUGUGUGUGUGUGUGUGUGUGUAGCAGGCCUCGGCAUUACUAAUAAAGCUUUACGUAAUGCUUGCGACUAAAACAGCAAGCUCUAGCGUAUGGGAAGCUUACUAACUCUCAUUCAAGCUCUGUGUGCG